AUUGAACGCUGGCGGCAUGCCUUACACAUGCAAGUCGAACGGCAGCACGGGAGCAAUCCUGGUGGCGAGUGGCGAACGGGUGAGUAAUAUAUCGGAACGUGCCCAGUCGUGGGGGAUAACGUAGCGAAAGCUACGCUAAUACCGCAUACGAUCGAUGGAUGAAAGCGGGGGAUCGCAAAACCUCGCGCGACUGGAGCGGUCGAUGUCGGAUUAGGUAGGUGGUGAGGUAAAGGAUCACCAAGCCGACGAUCUGUAGCUGGUCUGAGAGGACGACCAGCCACACUGGGACUGAGACACGGCCCAGACUCCUACGGGAGGCAGCAGUGGGGAAUUUUGGACAAUGGGCGCAAGCCUGAUCCAGCAAUGCCGCGCGCAGGAUGAAGGCCUUCGGGUUGUAAACUGCUUUUGUACGGAACGAAACGGCGAGCUCAAAUACAGUUUGCUAAUGACGGUACCGUAAGAAUAAGCACCGGCUAACUACGUGCCAGCAGCCGCAGUAA
rnacentral:rRNA from 1 species